ensembl:antisense Gm13713 predicted gene 13713
GGAUUGAUAGCUUCUGCUGUGGUCUCCUGGGGAAGGCCUUCCAGCCUGCAGCAUUUGUAACUCUGCUGUCACCAAGUGUUAUAGAGGUCACCCCGGAGAAGACUCUUGCUCAGGGACAGAUGGAGCCUCACUCAUUGGGAUGAGCCAGGACCCUGGUCAGUGGGCACAGUUACAGGUGCCGAGGAGUCUUAGAACUGUCCAAGCAGAACAGAGCUAAAAGGGACCCUGUAGUUUGGUUAUUCUGGUAACUUCUCUUUAUGGCUGAAUAAAGAUCAAAAUGGGUAA